rnacentral:lncRNA from 1 species
CUGCCUUGCACAUAUUGCCCCCUCCCCACCUCCGCUCUGGCGUGGGGACGGGAGGAGGAGGGAGGAAUGGAACCAGGGAGUCCGAAGUACAGCUUUGACAACUGUCGCGCUGGCCGGGUCUACACUGCAGCCAAAGGACCCAGCAGCUGGAGUACCCCUGUGAAGCACUCCUCGUGAGGGUGGAUGGAGGAUUUUGUUUGUUUCCUUGACAAAGGUGUGUGACUUGUCAGCCAAGAUGUUGGCUUUUUCAUGAAAGGAGCAAGGAAAUAGGAAGAGAGCAUGUUAAGGAAGAGAGCCCUUCUUGAAGAAAUGGGCAAGAAUUGGAAGGAAGUGGGGAAAGAGGAUGGAGAUUACAGAAGAUGUGUCUGUACUUAUGAGAAGUGACUAAAGUAGACAUAACUAUUUUGGGAGAAGUGAAAAGCCAAAGAACAAGUACCAAGUACAGGGCUCCCCUGAAAAAAAAUGGAAAGAAAAGGCAGAGGGGGCAAAGAAGAGAUCAUCCUCACAUAAACUCCUCUAAACCAGCGUCUUGACGUGGGACAGAUGGGAGUGUUGGGAUGGAGUAGUUGGGACGGAUCUGCAGGGAGAAGGGGCAGAGAAACAGCAGCCAGUCUUCUCUCUUCACUUGGAUUGCAAGAGGAUCAGCAGAUCUGUUUUCACUACCUCAAGGUACAUAGCCCCAAACACUGCCCAUCCCCAGUUCCCCAUGCACAUCUUUCCUGUUGGAGAAACCAGGAGAGAGAUGAGCAUUUCUGUCCCAGUUCCAGACUCCCCAGAGAGAUUCUGAUGGGCCCAGCUUAGGUCAGGGGAUAGUCUUCACUCAAGAGUUCCUGAGAUAAGAGAGACUGGAGUAGCAGGCAUUGCAGAACUGAUUUUAUAAAGGAAGAAUGUGUACCAUAUAUAUAUUGCUAGUUAAACGCAUGUAUACUGUUGAGUUCUACCUCCUCAGAAGUCUAGAAGGUUUCCUUCCUUUGAGGGUGAAGAAGCAGUAACAGGCAUCCUCCAUCUGUGGAGGUGCCCCUCGCUGUGGGCACCUAGAACACUUACCAUUAACGUCUGCUUCAAGAGGAGGUCACUAAAAGUGCCCCACAUGACGCAGCAGACACUUUGCUGGUCCCAGUGCCCUCUCCAAGACCUUCCAGAUGGUGAAGUGUUAAGAGUCUAAAAUGGAGUAAACGAUCUGCACAAAUUCAGUGGUGUCAGAGGAGCCAGUCCAAAGUCACUCGGCUCUAAAACGCUGCGAUUCUAUUAUUUUAAUGAUGCCCAGGAACACAACGCGGCACGACGGACCCAGAGGCGAGUGUGCAACUGCCAGGGGAGCAGCUGGAGGGGCUGCGGGGGGCUGCUGGCCGGCCAGUUCCCAGUGGGAGGAGGGACGCGGUAGGCGCGGGAGGAGGAAGAGCGCAGUGCGAGGGCGGAGCCGCGGUGGCCUGCGCGGUGCAGUCUGUUGCGCUCUGCUUAUUAGCUUGGCACACGGAUAGAAAAAUAUAUGGCACGCACACUUGGGAAACCCAGAAUAAUGGGAACUCAAAACUGUUAUUCAUUCGAGAGCUUAUCAGUCCAAGAAGAUGCCACCUUGGUCAGAUGUGGAUGAGGCAUGACUGGACCCACCCUAUGGGCUUGGCACCCACCUGUGCUAUAAACUGUUCAUGUGAAAACUGUGUGUCCCUGGGUUGUCUGACCUGCAGCUGUACUGCACUUUUAGUACAAUGCCUGCCACCCACAGGAGUGUUGUCACAAUUGAAGUGAAUGCUAUAAAGCAUUGUGAGCAACUCAGAAGAAGGAUGCUGCUUAACUACCCAAAAUUAUUAUACACCCACAGGUAAAGCUC